UACGGGGGGAGCAAGCGUUGUUCGGAUUUACUGGGCGUAAAGCGUGCGUAGGCGGUUCAUUAAGUCGGUUGUGAAAUCCCUGGGCUUAACCUGGGAACUGCAGUCGAUACUGAUGGACUAGAGUACGGUAGAGGGUGGCGGAACUCCGGGUGUAGCGGUGAAAUGCGUAGAUAUCCGGAAGAACACCGAUGGCGAAGGCAACCACCUGGGCCUGUACUGACGCUGAGGUACGAAAGCGUGGGGAGCAAACAGG
rnacentral:rRNA from 1 species